GCUGUGUCUGCUCAACUAACUGCCUGAGUUGAUGGACUUCAACUUGGAUGCUCCAGGAUCUCUGUGGGACUUUGGGCAUGUGGACUGACCCUGGACUUGGGAACUUGACAUACUGACUUGCCACCAGGCUCACGGAUUGGCUCAUGUCCAGCCUCAAACACAAUGUACUAUUACAUCAGCAGCAAAGGAGGAAAGGUCAAAGAUGAAUCA